AGACAAUGCAAUAAACACAGAAGAAAAAUGUUAAGAUGUUGGCAAAUCAUGAUAGACAGCGUAAAUGAUAUGCUUUUACUAGAGUUUGCCAGACAGGCAAAAGAGAAAGAUAAGAAAAUGGCAGUUUCAGACACAAAAAAAGUGAACAGGGUAACAACAUACAGUUUUCAAGCAUCCAAGGAAAGAAAAAAAAGGAGGAGAAAAGGGCAGUGGAUUCCCUAGCUUGCCAAUACUCAUCAUCAUACAAUAGAGAGAAUU